rnacentral:rRNA from 1 species
UGGGGAAUAUUGCACAAUGGGCGCAAGCCUGAUGCAGCAACGCCGCGUGAGUGAUGAAGGCCUUCGGGUUGUAAAGCUCUGUCUUUUGGGACGAUAAUGACGGUACCAAAGGAGGAAGCCACGGCUAACUACGUGCCAGCAGCCGCGGUAAUACGUAGGUGGCAAGCGUUGUCCGGAUUUACUGGGCGUAAAGGAUGCGUAGGCGGAUUUUUAAGUGAGAUGUGAAAACCCUAAGCUUAACUUGGGGACUGCAUUUCAUACUGGAAAUCUAGAGUGCGGGAGAGGAGAAUGGAAUUCCUAGUGUAGCGGUGAAAUGCGUAGAGAUUAGGAAGAACACCAGUGGCGAAGGCGAUUCUCUGGACCGUAACUGACGCUGAGGCAUGAAAGCGUGGGUAGCAAACAGGAUUAGAUACCCUGGUAGUCCACGCCGUAAACGAUGAGUACUAGGUGUAGGAGGUAUCGACCCCUUCUGUGCCGCAGUUAACACAAUAAGUACUCCGCCUGGGAAGUACGAUCGCAAGAUUAAAACUUAAAUGAAUUGAC